CAGUGCUUCUAUAUCCGUGCGGGUGGACCCUGCUAGUUUUUUAUUUCCACCUCAGAUUCCAGGAUACAAGCUGUAUACAACUGCAAAUACGUGAUGGGCCCCACGAAAGAGAGGAUAUCAACCCCACGCCGCUGUCUCCUUCCCGCAUCGAUCUCCUUUCUCCCCACCCCAUCUCUUGUCAGUUCGUUUCAUGGGGCUCCGUCGUAAAUCCCGGCUAUGGCCGCCGCGAGAUCCGCCUUCUCCAGCAACAUCCGGCACCGGAUUCAGGGUUCCACCGCAGGCACCUACCACGGGGGGCACAUAGAAGGCCGGCGGCGGCGCGGCGGUACCAUGAGGCCGACGUGGAGCGGGGGCCGAAUCCACUGGCCGUCGGGGGGUGGCUGAUCCGGCGAGGUUCCUCGAUCCCGCCAACCAGAAGCCCGUCCACCGGCAGCCGUGGUCGCCGUUGGUGUCUCCGUUCAGCACGGGCACCAUGACGGGUCAUCACGCAAGGUUGUCACCGGAUCCGGCGACACCAAGCCUGACUACCAGCGGAUCUGAUCGUCGGCCUCCUCUGCUACUUAAAUUUCAGGAUUUUUGAAUGUUUGUGACAGAGAGCAUGUGUUGUAGUUUUUUGAAAGA